AACCUGUGUUGUCCUCCAAUUACAGAAAACACUGGUUUAGCUUAUUCUACAUUACAGGGUUUUCAAACAUUAGCUUGCAUUUCUCCUCUCUCCACAUCCUUUCCAGCUGGACUAAGGGUGAGUAAAGCACACGAGUGCACAUAUGGAAUGAAAAAUGAGUCACCAAAAUUCUGAGCAGAUUCAGAUCUGUUUCACAAGAAAUGCAGCGCUGCAAGAGUGGCCAGUCCUGCCUCCCUGUGCCAUAGAGGAAAACAUCUGUGGUCAGAAGCUCAGCUGGUGCAGAGAGGUGUGUAAUGGACAGUGGAAGGCUUCUGCCAGCUGAUGGUCUGCAAGAAGAGAUUUCAGCACUGAAAAUCUUCCAUUUCUGAUUAGACAGAGAAGAGAAACUGUGUGAUGUGAGCAGCAGCUCCAGAAAUC
rnacentral:lncRNA from 12 species